UGUACAGCGCAUGCGCGGCCGUCAUUCGUCAAUGACUGGUUUCUCUAAUCCACAAAGGUGUAUUACAAGAUGAUUACCAAUCAAGAAACUGAAACCAGACAUUGCAUCAAAAUCUGACAGAAUCGCUCAGUUAGUCAGGAUAUUAUCGGCCUUUGGGUGUAAAGAAUUGAGAGGGCUUGAAACUGGAACUGAAAUAUGACAUCAGGUCCGACGGAAGACUUGCCCGGCACAUCAUAAGCUCAAGUCGUGAUUGGGAUUUUGGACAUGGAGCGGAAUGGCACCAGUCACAUCUGCUGUAUGUGCGGACGAGGCUUCAGCAAAACAAACCACCAGUGGAUUCACACCGGCGAGAGGCCGUUCUCCUGCUUGGUGUGCAGGAAAGGGCAUUCGCAGGGUCAGCCUGGCUGCUGAUGCACCGGCGCGUUCACGCUCGGGGGGGAGCGACGGUUCAUUCAGCUGCGUGACAGGUAGCAAGGAAUUCCUGAGCUGCUCCACCCUGCUGCACUGCCCAGCGAGUUCACCGUUAACUCCAGAAGCUGGAUUUCACGGUUUAAAUCGAACCCAGGACUGAACCUUUCUGGGGAACGGUCGCUGGAGCUGAAACGUUAACUCUGAUUCCUUUUUUGUCCUCUUUCUUCACAGAUGCUGCCUGACCUGUUGAGCUUUUCCGGCAACUUUGUUCCUGCCCAAUUUAUACCUGUAAAUAUUCAAAUAACUUUUAAGAAAUUGAUAAAUACAAAGUGUGUCGAGUCUUUUUAAUA